rnacentral:misc_RNA from 1 species
CGACCUCGAGCGCAGCUUGGUGUUGAGGGCUGCCCCGGCACCCUUUAAAAGCAUCGGCGGCAGCGCAGCUUUAUCGCAGCACAAUGCGUGAAGAGCUGUCACCUGCCCGCCUCGCACCCCUUUAUUACAA